rnacentral:rRNA from 1 species
AACGAACGCUGGCGGCAGGCUUAACACAUGCAAGUCGAACGCCCCGCCAGGGGAGUGGCAGACGGGUGAGUAACGCGUGGGAACAUACCCUUUCCUGCGGAAUAGCCCCGGGAAACGGGAAUUAAUACCGCAUACGCCCUACGGGGGAAAGAUUUAUCGGGGAAGGAUUGGCCCGCGUUGGAUUAGCUAGUUGGUGGGGUAAAGGCCUACCAAGGCGACGAUCCAUAGCUGGUCUGAGAGGCUGAUCAGCCACAGUGGGACUGCGACACGGCCCAAACUCCUACGGGAGGCAGCAGUGGGGAAUAUUGGACGAUGGGCGCAAGCCUGAUCCAGCCAUGCCGCGUGAGUGAUGAAGGCCUUAGGGUUGUAAAGCUCUUUCACCGAUGAAGAUAAUGACGGUAGUCGGAGAAGAAGCCCCGGCUAACUUCGUG